rnacentral:rRNA from 1 species
UACGUAGGGCGCAAGCGUUGUCCGGAAUUAUUGGGCGUAAAGCGCGCGCAGGCGGCUAUGUAAGUCUGAUGUUAAAGCCCGAGGCUCAACCUCGGUCCGCAUUGGAAACUGUGUAGCUUGAGUGCAGAAGAGGAAAGCGGUAUUCCACGUGUAGCGGUGAAAUGCGUAGAGAUGUGGAGGAACACCAGUGGCGAAGGCGGCUUUCUGGUCUGUAACUGACGCUGAGGCGCGAAAGCGUGGGGAGCAAACAGG